UGCAGUCGAACGCGUGUGGCCCAACUGAUUGAGACGUGCUUGCACGGACGUUGACGUUGGUUUACCAGCGAGUGGCGGACGGGUGAGUAACACGUAGGUAACCUGCCCCAAAGCGGGGGAUAACAUUUGGAAACAGAUGCUAAUACCGCAUAACAAUUUGAAUCGCAUGAUUCAAAUUUAAAAGAUGGCUUCGGCUAUCACUUUGGGAUGGACCUGCGGCGCAUUAGCUUGUUGGUAGGGUAACGGCCUACCAAGGCUGUGAUGCGUAGCCGAGUUGAGAGACUGAUCGGCCACAAUGGAACUGAGACACGGUCCAUACUCCUACGGGAGGCAGCAGUAGGGAAUCUUCCACAAUGGGCGCAAGCCUGAUGGAGCAACACCGCGUGAGUGAAGAAGGGUUUCGGCUCGUAAAGCUCUGUUGUUAGAGAAGAACGUGCGUGAGAGCAACUGUUCACGCAGUGACGGUAUCUAACCAGAAAGUCACGGCUAACUACGUGCCAGCAGCCGCGGUAAUACGUAGGUGGCAAGCGUUAUCCGGAUUUAUUGGGCGUAAAGCGAGCGCAGGCGGUUUGAUAAGUCUGAUGUGAAAGCCUUUGGCUUAACCAAAGAAGUGCAUCGGAAACUGUCAGACUUGAGUGCAGAAGAGGACAGUGGAACUCCAUGUGUAGCGGUGGAAUGCGUAGAUAUAUGGAAGAACACCAGUGGCGAAGGCGGCUGUCUGGUCUGCAACUGACGCUGAGGCUCGAAAGCAUGGGUAGCGAACAGGAUUAGAUACCCUGGUAGUCCAUGCCGUAAACGAUGAGUGCUAGGUGUUGGAGGGUUUCCGCCCUUCAGUGCCGCAGCUAACGCAUUAAGCACUCCGCCUGGGGAGUACGACCGCAAGGUUGAAACUCAAAGGAAUUGACGGGGGCCCGCACAAGCGGUGGAGCAUGUGGUUUAAUUCGAAGCUACGCGAAGAACCUUACCAGGUCUUGACAUCUUGCGCCAACCCUAGAGAUAGGGCGUUUCCUUCGGGAACGCAAUGACAGGUGGUGCAUGGUCGUCGUCAGCUCGUGUCGUGAGAUGUUGGGUUAAGUCCCGCAACGAGCGCAACCCUUGUUACUAGUUGCCAGCAUUCAGUUGGGCACUCUAGUGAGACUGCCGGUGACAAACCGGAGGAAGGUGGGGACGACGUCAGAUCAUCAUGCCCCUUAUGACCUGGGCUACACACGUGCUACAAUGGACGGUACAACGAGUCGCGAACUCGCGAGGGCAAGCUAAUCUCUUAAAACCGUUCUCAGUUCGGACUGCAGGCUGCAACUCGCCUGC
rnacentral:rRNA from 1 species